rnacentral:rRNA from 1 species
UGGUGGGUUGCCUUGUCAGGUUGAUUCCGGUAACGAACGAGACCUCAGCCUGCUAAAUAGUCAGCUUCGCACCUGCGGAGCGCAGACUUCUUAGAGGGACUAUUGGCGUUUAGCCAAUGGAAGUAUGAGGCGAUAACA